UAAUCUCGUAUCUUGCUUUAAAG
rnacentral:siRNA from 1 species